rnacentral:rRNA from 1 species
ACAGGUGCUGCAUGGCUGUCGUCAGCUCGUGUUGUGAAAUGUUGGGUUAAGUCCCGCAACGAGCCGCAACCCUUUAUCCUUUGUUGCCAGCGGUCCGGCCGGGAACUCAAAGGAGACUGCCAGUGAUAAACUGGAGGAAGGUGGGAUGACGUCAAGUCAUCAUGGCCCUUACGACCAGGGCUACACACGUGCUACAAUGGCGCAUACAAAGAGAAGCGACCUCGCGAGAGCAAGCGGACCUCAUAAAGUGCGUCGUAGUCCGGAUUGGAGUCUGCAACUCGACUCCAUGAAGUCGGAAUCGCUAGUAAUCGUGGAUCAGAAUGCCACGGUGAAUACGUUCCCGGGCCUU